rnacentral:tRNA from 1 species
GCGCGCGUAGCUCAACUGGAUAGAGCGAUGGCCUCCGAAGCCGUAGGUUACAGGUUCGACCCCUGUCGCGCGUACCA